rnacentral:rRNA from 1 species
UACGUAGGGGGCGAGCGUUGCCCGAAUUUACUGGGCGUAAAGCGCACGUAGGCGGCUCCGUAAGUCUGGUGUGAAAUCUCACGGCUCAACCGGGAGGCUGCACCAGAUACUGCGAAGCUCGAGGACGGGAGAGGAGAUCGGAAUUCCCGGUGUAGCGGUGAAAUGCAUUGAUAUCGGGAGGAACACCAGUGGCGAAGGCGGAUCUCUGGCCCGUUGCUGACGCUGAGGUGCGAAAGCUGGGGGAGCUAAAGGG